CCCCAUGACACCGGGUUACCAAUCAGAUGGAUCUGAGCCUGAAACACAGCCGGCCAAUCAGAGAUCAGGACCAAAUACUGUGAGUGUGUGUGUGUGUGUGUGUGUGUGUCUAAAAGACAGGUGUGUGUGUAGGUGUGUGCCUCACCUGUCCUCGUUGUCAGACUGUGUGUCCUGAAUAU